GACGAACGCUGGCGGCGUGCUUAACACAUGCAAGUCGAACGGAAAGGCCCUGCUUUUGUGGGGUGCUCGAGUGGCGAACGGGUGCGUAACACGUGAGUAACCUGCCCUUGACUUUGGGAUAACUUCAGGAAACUGGGGCUAAUACAGGAUAGGAGCUCCUGCUGCAUGGUGGGGGUUGGAAAGUUUCGGCGGUUGGGGAUGGACGCGCGGCUUAUCAGCUUGUUGGUGGGGUAGUGGCUUACCAAGGCUUUGACCGGUAGGCGGCCUGAGAGGGUGACCGGCCACAUUGGGACUGAGAUACGGACCAGACUCCUACGGGAGGCAGCAGUGGGGAAUAUUGCACAAUGGGCGGAAGUCUGAUGCAGCAACGCCGCGGGCGGGAUGACGGCCUUCGGGGUGUAAACCGCUUUCGCCUGUGACGAAGCGUGAGUGACGGUAAUGGGUAAAGAAGCACCGGCUAACUACGUG
rnacentral:rRNA from 1 species